rfam:Schistosoma margrebowiei strain Zambia genome assembly, scaffold: SMRZ_contig0010740
AUUCAAAUGACGAGUUCUAAAAAGGACGAAACGCGCAUCCUGGAU